CGAGAGACUCGCAACUCCGCACCGCACCACGCGCCCGGCAUCCAACCGGCCCCGAGGGCGCUCCGGCCCGCCUGGAGACCCCUGCCCAGGCUGGAUCCCGGCGCCGGGGUCCAGUGAGGGUCAUAGGCAAAUGCUCCAAGAUUUAAGUUCCGCGGAAACCAGCGACAAAGCCAUUGAAGGAGGCAGUGAGAAUGUGGCCAGUAUACACGGAGUUUCUCUGGCAAAGAAAGUCAGUGAUGGCAUCGCGACACACAGAUUGACUUUCAUCUCUGUUAGACAGUUCCCCUUUGGAUCCCUAAUUCCUCAGAACGUUCCCGAUUGGGGAUAGGGACAGGUUUGGGGCAGUGACUAUCCUGAGACUCCCUCCAACCUCCAAGGCCUUUCGGUUUCUCUGUGAUCUCGAUAACCCUAAAACGCAUUUGAGUUCAUUUCCGCAGCUGCAUCGCUUUGUGGCCCGCAGGCUCGGAACCGUUUUACAAUGCCGUCUAGACAGUCUACCACGAAAUCCACACGAGCUGCGAGCUAGCUGCCCAUCACCCCAGGCUUCAGAGGUCGAGAUUGCAACUGCCCGAGCAACCUAAAGGAAGGUCCUAAAGGGGGUUGGGGGUAGGGCAAAACAAAACGGAAAUUUAAAAAUGUAGAAACUCCUUUUGCCCAUCUUGGGUCGCUCAGCUCCAGAGGUAAGCUCUGGGCACCACACGAGUCCCACUGCGGCCUGGGUGGCUGGCCUGCAAGGUGCGUGGGUGCGUAUGCACGGGAGAGGAUGGGGACUCCAGGGCUGCCCUCACUGGUCAUUCUGAAGUGAUCUCCUAAUGAACCUAAUUUCGAUUCCACUGCCCGCCCGAGCUGGCUCUCGGGACUUCCUACACGCGGUUGAUCGCAGCCUCUCACCCUCCCUCUGCCAAGGCCUGGUCUGAGCUGUCCAUUCUCUUGUGUCUCCUUGGAAGCUCCCUGGAGAAGGGGGGUGGUGAACAACUCCCAGCUGCCGGUUCCAUUUGUUGCGCUUUUUUCCUUCGACACAAUAAAAGUCAAAUUAAUUGAUUCAUACCAUUAA